GCUCUGAUAAUGUGAUAGCAAAACUUACUUGAAGAGAGGUGAUGGCAUAAAAAUAAUGCUCAACAGGAUUACGCUGAGAUGC